GUGCCUCAAUCUAUUGAGUAAGGAAAUUAUUGGGCCUUGGUAACGCUUGGCAAUGUCCAAAAAGGGCGAAACGAUUUUUGAAAGGUACAGGUCGUCCCCUGAGUCGUUUGCCUACUUUGCAAGCGAUUCGGGUGAAGCGAACUGCCUU